GGGAGGAGCCCAGCACACCAGGAGAAAAACCGUGCGUUCCACAGGGAGCACGUAGAGAGGCUCCUUACAGGGGAUCCCAGGUCUGAACUCUAAACCCCAACAUCCCGAGUUGUAACACGUAGCGUCACCUAACCGCUAAGCUACCGCAGCACGAAAGCUGAAUACGUCAGGGUUGGGAUUUGGCUAGCACUGUGCCUCUAUCCUCACUCAAAGAGCAUCUGAUGGCUAAACUGCCUACUGACAUGAGGGGACUGCGAUGGUCUUGCCAGACAGGAGGAGCCACUUUACAGAAGAGCGAUCUAAUCCCACAGAUCCAGAUUUGUUUUAAGAGUGAUUGGUCCUGCUCAAGCCACUGAGUUCCUCCAGCAUAGAACAUAGAAUGCUGUGGCACAGAACAGGCCCUUCGGCCGAGCCUUGGGUGACUGUGGAGAUAUUUUGGCAAAUUCGGGGUUCAUACCUUUGCGCGACUAUAGAAUUGCAUGUCCGCACUGUUCAGCGUGUAGAUCAGCAGAGAUCAGGUACUGCCUGUUAGC